rnacentral:rRNA from 1 species
AGUGAACGCUGGCGGUAGGCCUAACACAUGCCAGUCGAACGGCAGCACAGUAAGAGCUUGCUCUUACGGGUGGCGAGUGGCGGACGGGUGAGGAAUACAUCGGAAUCUACUUUUUCGUGGGGGAUAACGUAGGGAAACUUACGCUAAUACCGCAUACGACCUACGGGUUAAAGCAGGGGAUCUUCGGACCUUGCGCGAUUGAAUUAGCCGAUGUCGGAUUAGCUAGUUGGCGGGGUAAAGGCCCACCAAGGCGACGAUCCGUAGCUGGCCUGAGAGGAUGAUCAGCCACACUGGAACUGAGACACGGUCCAGACUCCUACGGGAGGCAGCAGUGGGGAAUAUUGGACAAUGGGCGCAAGCCUGACCCAGCCAUACCGCGUGGGUGAAGAAGGCCUUCGGGUUGUAAAGCCCUUUUGUUGGGAAAGAAAAGCAGCAGGUUAAUACCCCGCUGUUCUGACGGUACCCAAAGAAUAAGCACCGGCUAACUUCGUG